GUAAAUACAGGGAUAGUUGACGGACUUAAAAUCCGUCGAAAGGAAACUUUCGUACCGGUUCGAUUCCGGUUCUGGCACCA
rnacentral:tRNA from 1 species